UGGGGAAUAUUGCACAAUGGGCGCAAGCCUGAUGCAGCCAUGCCGCGUGUAUGAAGAAGGCCUUCGGGUUGUAAAGUACUUUCAGCGGGGAGGAAGGCGAUAAGGUUAAUAACCUUGUCGAUUGACGUUACCCGCAGAAGAAGCACCGGCUAACUCCGUGCCAGCAGCCGCGGUAAUACGGAGGGUGCAAGCGUUAAUCGGAAUUACUAGGCGUAAAGCGCACGCAGGCGGUCUGUCAAGUCGGAUGUGAAAUCCCCGGGCUCAACCUGGGAACUGCAUUCGAAACUGGCAGGCUAGAGUCUUGUAGAGGGGGGUAGAAUUCCAGGUGUAGCGGUGAAAUGCGUAGAGAUCUGGAGGAAUACCGGUGGCGAAGGCGGCCCCCUGGACAAAGACUGACGCUCAGGUGCGAAAGCGUGGGGAGCAAACA
rnacentral:rRNA from 1 species